GCCUGGGUGGCUUAGUAGGUUAAGCGUCCGACUUCAGCUCAGGUCACGAUCUCGCGGUCCGUGAGUUCGAGCCCCACGUCAGGCU
rnacentral:tRNA from 1 species